AAGAGUUAGGAGCUGUGUGUAUAACGCGUGUAUCACACUGUUAUAUCUCUUAGAGAAUUUGAAGGAAGGCUUUAAGAAUUUAUAACAAUUUUACCAACUUCUGGCACUUAAAUGUUUUCUUUUUUAUUCUCAGUGUUAGAAACCACAAAAUAGUUUUAUGGAUGUACAAUUUUAGACUUAAUUCUUUCAACAAAAACCUUAGGACAUAAAAACACAUGUCAAAAUUAUAAUAAAAGCAAAGCACUAAAUCCUUUCUCCCUACCUAUAACCUCUUUUUUUUGAAAUAAUCUAUAAUCAUCUUUACAUAAUACUUUAGAAUUUAGAACAGUAAAGUCACUCAUUAAAACUUAGGAAUUUGUUAUAAAUCUUAUAAAGAAAAUUCCCAUUAAUUACAGGCAAGUUUCUCAAAAUUGUGUUUGGAAAAAGAAAGAGUAGAGAAGAUUAAAAUUAAAGAACUUUUAUUCAAUUGAUUGCACUGAAAACCCUUGAGAAAGCAAGGUUUAAUGUCUUGCUAUAUAAGUACUAUUGAACCAUACAUUCGUCCAAAGUCUUUUUGUGAACAACAAAUUUAAGGUAACUGACACACUGCAUUGUGAAUUUUGCUGUAACAUACCAACAGAGCUAGUUACCUAAGAAUGUUGGACUCCCCGUGAAAGAAUAAGAAUAAACAAUCAUUUCAACAGAAAAGUUACUAUGUUUUAUUAUAACAAAAGUAAACAAAAUUUAGCUCUUUAAAUUCAUUUUCAGAACACACUUUAAAAACUUUCACUCUUUGUCUAGGAGACAUUUCCCAAAUUCUCCUGGAAAAUUGUCAACCCAAACAUCUGGAGUUUGGAAUAAGCCAACAAGUAUCAGACCCAAAGCCAGUUCCAGCCUUAGCCACCUAAUGAAGCUUUGAAUCUCUAAAAGUUCUUAAGAGUUAGGCAUUAACUUUACUUUAUCUCCUAAAGAGGGCAAAGGACCUCUUAGGAUAUUGCUCAGGGAAAUUUCAAGCCAAGAAUAGCAAUCUCAAGCUUAACUAAAUCAAGAAGCUGAAAUUUCCUCUUCCCACAUUGCCUGACUAAAUGUUUAACCUAUAUUAUAAAGAAAAGAUAUGUAGAAAAGUCCUUUGUUCCCAAAGGAAGAAUCUACCUAAUACAGAGUCAAAGAAAAGUCACAACGAAACCCUGAAAGUUGUAAAGUACAUCUCAUCUGCCACAGAGUGCACAUGUGGUAAGGAUUCUGGAAUUACCGGAUCAAAUGAAAUCAAUCUUAGCAGAUUUCACAAAAAUGAUUUUGAAAGAAGAUAUUGGUUUUGUUUAUAGGAACAGAGAUUAGGAGUUUUACAAUGAUGUGUUAACCUUCUGAAUGAAAGUCAGGUGAUGGAUCCUGAGAGAUACAUAGUGAGAAGAUGUGCUUAGUGGUUCUUUGAUGUAGAACACUUAAAAUAUUCUAAUUUAUUUAGAAUCCAACAUGAAAAUGAACUGAUUUAUUCCUGAUAUCUUGAGUUAUUAGUUGACUCAAACUUUGCCAUUGGAUCUAUUGGUAAUGAUGUUGAUUUUAGAGUAAUCUUUGAAAGAGACACCCUCUGAAGUACUGUCUUCGCUGUGCACAUUUUCAUACCUGUUGAAUAUCAGUUGUUAAAUCAAGACCUAAUUACUGUUUGCACCUGUAUAUCAAGAUGGACUUCUUAUGGAUUCAUCUGGUUGGGAGGCCCUCCUUAAUAGCAUAUUAUUGAAUUGACCUCUUCAUGAACAGUACCUCAUACAGCUUGAGCAUUAUUUUACUUUAAUUGUGGUCAUUAUGAUGUCUACGUUUUACAGUCGUUCAAUAAAGGUAAAAACGAAUUUUAAUCUAAGGACUCAAACAGAAAAGAGGAAAGUGAAUUUUGCUAUUUACUCUGUAGACAAAAGUAGGCAAGUAACAUUUAACACUGGAAGGACACACAAAUAUAGAUUAAGAUCACCAAACCAAGCAAGGGUAUGAGAGUUAGCUCUGAGGAGGAAAAAGGCUUAUCAUGGAAGAAACAGAUGGAACUCCUUGCCCCCAUCAGGCAUAGAUACACAAGAAAGUACACUUACAGAGGAGCAAGGGUAAAAAGGAAUUCUUUUUAAAUUUCACAUCUCAAGCUCCAGGCCAUUCAAGAGCCUUUGUCAACCUUCCCUGUCUCCAUGAUUUAAGUGAUCUGUCCUUUCAGAUGAGGGGCAAACUGAAGUAAUUUAUGGAAAAUAGAAUCCAAAGGUAUUUCUGAAUAGUCAGAACUAUAUUCACUAUAUCCAUAAAAAUGGAUAUUUCACAAAUCCAGUAAUUUAAGAGCUUUAUUGCUUUCUUUCUUUCCAUUAUCUGAAAAGCUGUGAUCCUUUCUGCACCAAUUUUAGCCCUUUACCAUAUGGUAAACCUUCAAUGACCCCACCUAAUGUUUCCAAGAGAACUGAAAUCAACAUGACUCUCUUUUAAUUACAACAUUAUUAUUAAAUAUUCAGUGACUUCACAACUUUGGUCAUGCCUAAAAAUUAAUGUCAAUUUAAUAUAUGUUAAAAUCAUCUUCCUGAAUAAUGACAUUUUAAAAAAAUUCUUAUCAGCUGUUAUUUUUCUAAGCAGGUUCUGUACAACAUUUGGCAAAUCCCAAAGUAUUUUUUAUGCUCUUUUAAUGACACAUGAAGUGAUAAUUGACAUUAUCCAGAACACAGUUUCUUAAUUAAUAAAAAGAUUCUAUAUCUUUGUUGAUACAUUUUGCAUUCCUUUCAACUCUUAAUUGGUUGUCCCCUUGCCGUGUGAUAAUAUUUUCUGGCUGAGCUGUAGGUACCAGAGGAAUACUCCCUUCCUUCUGAGUAAAAAUUAGUUAAUAUUUCUAGUUUAAAGCCUUCACAUGUAUUUUUAUAAGUUUUGGGAUAAGCUGCAACUAUAGUGACUUCAAAUUCCUUUAUGACACAACAGUUCCUGUCAGACACAAACCUGUGGACACCCUGGAAGGUGUUGGGUUUAGACAAUGAAGGAAUUAGGAGUGUACCAAGUUAUUGAGCUAAAAGGAAAGAGAAGACAAAAUUAGAGGAUAUUUUCUCAAAUUGAAAAAAUCAGACGAUGAUGUUGAAGGGUGUUAGCAGGGAAACAUGCCCUCUUAGGGUUUCUUCACAGUUUCUGUGGUGAAAAUAUUCCCAGCAAGCUACCAAAGUGCUAUGGACUGAAUCGUGUCCCCCAAGAUUCCUCUAUUGAAGCUCUAAGCUCCAGCGUGGAUGAAGAGGAAGAGACAAUAGAAGCGCAUGUACGCAGAGAAAAGGCCAUGCGAGGACAGAGCAGUAAAGCGGCCAUCUGCAAGCCCAGGCAACAGGCCUUGCUGGACACCAACUUCUGGCCCCUUGAUCUUAUAUUUCCAGCCUCCAGAACUGCAAGAAAAUAAAUUUCUGUUGUUUAAGCC